UCGGGAAUUUUGCACAAUGGCCGAAAGGCUGAUGCAGCAACGCCGCGUGAGCGAAGAAGGCCUUCGGGUUGUAAAGCUCUGUUGCCUGCGAAGAAGGGCCCUGUCAGGAAAUGGGCGGGGUUUGACGGUAGCAGGCGAGGAAGCCCCGGCAAACUACGUGCCAGCAGCCGCGGUAAUACGUAGGGGGCGAGCGUUGUCCGGAAUUACUGGGCGUAAAGGGCGUGUAGGCGGCCUGUUAAGUCAGGGGUGAAAGACCGGGGCUCAACCCCGGGGGUGCCGCUGAAACUGGCGGGCUUGAGUGCUCUAGAGGGCAGUGGAAUUCCCGGUGUAGCAGUGAAAUGCGUAGAGAUCGGGAGGAACACCAGUGGCGAAGGCGGCGGCCUGGGGAGUCACUGACGCUGAGGCGCGAAAGCUAGGGGAGCAAACAGG
rnacentral:rRNA from 1 species